GUAGGAUAGAGGCCUACCAUGGUGGUAACGGGUAACGGGGUGUUAGGGCACGACACCGGAGAGGGAGCCUGAGAAACGGCUACCACAUCCAAGGAAGGCAGCAGGCGCGCAAAUUACCCAAUCCCGACACGGGGAGGUAGUGACAAUAAAUAACAAUACAGGGUUCUUUGAAUCUUGUAAUUGGAAUGAGUACAAUUUAAAUCUCUUAACGAGGAACAAUUGGAGGGCAAGUCUGGUGCCAGCAGCCGCGGUAAUUCCAGCUCCAAUAGCGUAUAUUAAAGUUGUUGCAGUUAAAAAGCUCGUAGUUGAAUUUCGGGAUCAAUACGUCGGUCGUGCUUUCGGGUACGUACUGGCGUCAUUGGUUUCUCCUUUCUGACGAACCAUGAUGUCAUUAAUUUGGUGUUAUGGGGAGUUAGGACUGUUACUUUGAAAAAAUUAGAGUGUUUAAAGCAGGCAUUAGCUUGAAUACAUUAGCAUGGAAUAAUGAAAUAGGACGUUCGAUCCUAUUUUGUUGGUUUCUAGGAUCAACGUAAUGAUUAAUAGGGAUAGUUGGGGGCAUUAGUAUUCAAUUGUCAGAGGUGAAAUUCUUGGAUUUAUUGAAGACUAACUACUGCGAAAGCAUUUGCCAAGGAUGUUUUCAUUAAUCAAGAACGAAAGUUAGGGGAUCGAAGACGAUCAGAUACCGUCGUAGUCUUAACCAUAAACUAUGCCGACUAGGGAUCGGAUGAUGUUAAUUUUUUAAUGACUC
rnacentral:rRNA from 1 species